GACGAACGCUGGCGGCGUGCCUAAUACAUGCAAGUCGAACGCAUUUUCUUUCACCGUAGCUUGCUACACCGAAAGAAAGUGAGUGGCGAACGGGUGAGUAACACGUGGGUAACCUGCCCAUCAGCGGGGGAUAACACUUGGAAACAGGUGCUAAUACCGCAUAAUUCCAUUUACCGCAUGGUAGAUGGGUUAAAGGCGCUUUUGCGUCACUGUUGGCUGGACCUGCGGUGCAUUAGCUAGUUGGUGGGGUAACGGGCUACCAAGGCUGAGAUGCAUAGCCGGCCUGGGGAGGUGGUCGGCCACACUGGGACUGGGACACCGCCCAGGCUCCUAAGGGAAGGAGCAGGAGGGGAUCUUCGGCAAUGGGCGCAAGUCUGACCGAGCAACGCCGCGGGAGGGAAGAAGGGUUUCGGAUCGUAAAACUCUGUUGUUAGAGAAGAAAAAGGAUGAGAGUGGAAAGUUCAUCCCUUGACGGUAUCUAAACAGAAAGCCACGGCUAACUACGUG
rnacentral:rRNA from 1 species